CAAGCGGUGGAGCAUGUGGUUUAAUUCGAUGCAACGCGAAGAACCUUACCUGGUCUUGACAUCCACGGAAGUUUUCAGAGAUGAGAAUGUGCCUUCGGGAACCGUGAGACAGGUGCUGCAUGGCUGUCGUCAGCUCGUGUUGUGAAAUGUUGGGUUAAGUCCCGCAACGAGCGCAACCCUUAUCCUUUGUUGCCAGCGGUCCGGCCGGGAACUCAAAGGAGACUGCCAGUGAUAAACUGGAGGAAGGUGGGGAUGACGUCAAGUCAUCAUGGCCCUUACGACCAGGGCUACACACGUGCUACAAUGGCGCAUACAAAGAGAAGCGACCUCGCGAGAGCAAGCGGACCUCAUAAAGUGCGUCGUAGUCCGGAUUGGAGUCUGCAACUCGACUCCAUGAAGUCGGAAUCGCUAGUAAUCGUGGAUCAGAAUGCCACGGAGAAUACGUUCCCGGGCCUUGUACACACC
rnacentral:rRNA from 1 species